UACGUAGGUGGCAAGCGUUGUCCGGAAUCACUGGGCGUAAAGCGCGCGCAGGCGGCGAUCUACGUCUGGGGGUGAAAGCCCCGGAGCUCAACUCCGGGACUGCCUUGGAUACGGGGAUCGCUUGAGGAUUGGAGAGGCAAGGGGAAUUCCACGUGUAGCGGUGAAAAUGCGUAGAUAUGUGGAGGAACACCUGUGGCGAAGGCGCCUUGCUGGCCAAUUUCUGACGCUGAGGCGCGAAAGCGUGGGGAGCAAACAGG
rnacentral:rRNA from 1 species